rnacentral:rRNA from 1 species
UAGGGAAUCUUCGGCAAUGGGGGCAACCCUGACCGAGCAACGCCGCGUGAGUGAAGAAAGUUUUCGGAUCGUAAAGCUCUGUUGUAAGAGAAGAACGUGUGUGAGAGUGGAAAGUUCACACAGUGACGGUAACUUACCAGAAAGGGACGGCUAACUACGUGCCAG